UUAAUAACUUUUGUAAGAUAACUCAAUAAAUUAUAUAACAUUAUUAACAUUAAUCACAUAAUGUGAGAUAAAAUAGAAACAAACAUAUGAGGUACAAUUGAACCUAAUGAUGGAUUUUGAUGCAUUUCAGGCUCAACCUUCAAGAAAUAGAAGCAUUGGUGUUCUUUCAAAUGACAUCACGACUGCCUUAGAUUAAAACUUGAAGGAGGUGACAUUCCCCAGAAAAGUAAGAUUGUCAAGUUUUAUCAUUUUUGUUGUUCACCAUACCAUCCCAUGUUGGGCUUGCCCCCCAGUCCAGAUCAACAGUUUGUUGAGGAAAAGCUUGGAAUUCAGUUGAUGCCUAUUCUUGCUGUGAAGAGGAGCAAUCUGAACUGAAGGGAGAACAGACUCCAAACAAGAGUAGAUGUGAUGACACCAAGAAAGAGCAGCCACAUAUUACCUCGAGAGGUUAACCAGAAUGCAAAUCAACAGAAUAUGAUGCUGACCAAGUACCAGGAAGAGGUGUCCCCAUCACUGUAGAUGACAAGUGAUGACAGUUAUCUUGAUGGACUACAGGAAUGAUUCAAGUGCAUUCAUUGUGCAGUUUACUGAUUUGUAUGAUGUAUUUUGAUAAUUGUUUUGGCAUUCUGAUGUCAGCUGAGUAACACCUCCAUAAUGGAAACAAAUUAAGGAACUUCUGUUUUGAAGCAGUAAAAUAGUCUCAGCAAUAAUUUUUAUUUAUUUUGCCAGCAGAACAGAAGUUUCCAUUAAUUUUCCCACACAAACAUUUUGUGCUUUUCUGUUCCCCAUUUGUGCUUAUUGUCCUGCUGAACAAUUAGACCACCUUUUCAGUGACA